rnacentral:rRNA from 1 species
GAGAUCCCAGGUCAGGCGGGACUA